rnacentral:rRNA from 1 species
GUGGGGAAUAUUGGACAAUGGGGGGAACCCUGAUCCAGCCAUGCCGCGUGUGUGAAGAAGGCCUUUUGGUUGUAAAGCACUUUAAGCGAGGAGGAGGCUACUUUAGUUAAUACCUAGAGAUAGUGGACGUUACUCGCAGAAUAAGCACCGGCUAACUCUGUGCCAGCAGCCGCGGUAAUACAGAGGGUGCGAGCGUUAAUCGGAUUUACUGGGCGUAAAGCGCGCGUAGGUGGCCAAUUAAGUCAAAUGUGAAAUCCCCGAGCUUAACUUGGGAAUUGCAUUCGAUACUGGUUGGCUAGAGUAUGGGAGAGGAUGGUAGAAUUCCAGGUGUAGCGGUGAAAUGCGUAGAGAUCUGGAGGAAUACCGAUGGCGAAGGCAGCCAUCUGGCCUAAUACUGACACUGAGGUGCGAAAGCAUGGGGAGCAAACAGGAUUAGAAACCCGAGUAGUCC